CUGUCUACGCCUCUUACAUUAUCCCAGGUGCCAGUUUUUUUGAAAGAUAUGCGCAGCUAGUUCAGCCGGGGAACACUAGUGGGCAUUGACUCAGCAACGGAUCAGCUGACGUCGCGCCUACCACAGAUGAAGAUUCUUAAUCUAAUAUGGCGGUCUUUUUAAAUUGGUUGGCGCACUCGGUCUGACGGUCUCCCAUUCUGCUGGUCGUAUUGUAUGCGGUGGUUAAACCCACUCACCCACCCAUUGGGUAAUGUAGAAUAGCUACCCUCAGAGUUGAUCCCAUUCAUCAGUCUUGUUAGCUGUUAACCAGAAGUAUCAUCGCAACGUUAACCAAACAGGCUGAAAGGAAGCCCGGUUUGACCUGCGGCUUGGCGUUCUCCAGGGAGGUGGUGGCCAACGGUGAGUUGGCAGGCAGGUUCGGCAUUG